rnacentral:misc_RNA from 1 species
GGAAGGAUCAUUAACACGUAUCCACGUUUAACUACCUACCGAGAACCGUUUUCACCUCUCCCUUUUACAUCAGAAUGAAUUGAACCGACUCAAGCAAAUGGUAUGCGGCUGUUCUCGAACAGUAUACUUGUACGGGGAACUGAAUCGAUCCUUUCGGGGGCCUUUUCGACAAUUGUAUCUGAUUGUAGGAGGACAAAACCUGCUCUUUUUACCGCGAUCUCCAUACCUGAUUCUGGUAAACUGGGCAAAACCCAAUAAAACACUUAUAUUAACUUAUUUCACCCCCCUUUUUGCUAGUUGACUUUUUAAUAUGUUGUUCUCUUUUUCUUGCUUCGGCCAGAAGAUUAGUUCACACGUUUAAUUAUUUGAACGUUAAAAAAUACAACUCUUAGCAAUGGAUAUCUUGGUUCUCGCAACGAUGAAGAACGCAGCGAAAUGCGAUACGUAAUGCGAAUUGCAGAAUUCAGUGAAUCAUCAAAUCUUUGAACGCAAAUUGCGCUUCUGGGUAGCCCUAGGAGCACGCCUCUCUCAGUAUCGGUUCAACCAUCUCUCAGCAGCGUUUUCGUUUGGUAAAGGAUUUUUUUUAUUAAACAUUCUUUCUUGAACGGAGCGUGUUGGCUGGAUAAUGAGAGUCUGUACGCCCUGGUGCUGCAGUCUCUUGAAAUACAUGGAGUAAACUAACAUACGACUUAACGAUCAAUUCCAGACUUCGGUUUGGAUAGUCAGUUGCUGGCUGUUGUUCGUGUAGUGACGUGAAUAUUGGGUCUUUAUUGAUCUUACUCUUUUACGUUUAUCUAUCGGAUGACAAUUAAAAAGCUAAGCUUCAGGCGAACGUUCAUUUUAGUGUAAUGUCUAUUUAUGCGAAGAAAACCAUAUGGUUAGUUUUCAGAUUUUUUCAUUAAAUCUGUUCUUUAACCUGAAUUUUGAUCUGAGAUGAAGCGAGACAACCCCCUGAAUUUAAGCAUAUUAAUAAGGGGAGGAAAAGAAACUAACAAGGAUUCCCCCAGUAACGGCGAGUGAAGCGGGAAGAGCUCAAUUUGAAAAUCGACUACCUAAACGGGUCGUCGAGUUGUAGCCUAGAGACGUACUAUCAGCUGAAACCUGGGUAUAAGUUCUUUGGAAUGAGGCAUCAUAGAGGGUGAGAAUCCCGUUUAUGACCCAAAGCUUUCAGCGUACGAUGUAUGUUCAUCGAGUCGAGUUGUUUGGGAUUGCAGCUCUAAAUGGGUGGUAAGUUUCAUCUAAAGCUAAAUAAUGGCGAGAGACCGAUAGCGAACAAGUACCGUGAGGGAAAGAUGAAAAGAACUUUGAAAAGAGAGUUAAAAGUACUUGAAAUUGCUAAGAGGGAAGCGCUAAAAACCAGUGAUACGCUGCGUCAAUCGUUUUCGGCCCCACUAGUUUGCGUUUUGUCAUGGGCAACCUGGCAUGCGUAACCGAAAGGGUGGUUGGGAAUUUAUGAUGUAGUGUCAGUCAAGAUCAAUUCGGAUUGUGGGAGAAGGUAGCGAGAAAGGUAGGAGAGCAAUCUCUGUUAUAUUCUUGUUACUCUACCUCGGCCUGGAUUGAGGAAGUAAUGGUGCGCCGCUUGCGGCUUGGUCCCGUGUCUCUGUUGUCCCAGGCGCUCUGAUAGCAAUGCUAUCUCUGUGUUGAAAGGCAAUACUGGGCGCGGUGAUUCUAUGUGCCAUCACGAUCUUGUACGAAAUGGUUUUUAUCGACCCGUCUUGAAACACGGACCAAGGAGUCUAACAUCUAUGCAAGUAUUUGGGUGCAAAACCCUGAUGCGUAAUGAAAGUAAAGGCAGCCUCGUUGUUGCUGAGGUAGGAAUCCCUUAAACAAGGAGGCACUAUCGACCGAUCAUCACUUGUGAAAGAUUUGAGUAAGAGCAUAUCUGUUGGGACCCGAAAGAUGGUGAUCUAUGCCUGAACAGGGUGAAGCCAGGGGAAACUCUGGUGGAGGCUCGUAGCGAUACUGACGUGCAAAUCGUUCGUCUGAUUUGGGUAUAGGGGCGAAAGACUAAUCGAACCAUCUAGUAGCUGGUUCCCUC